AACGAACGCUGGCGGCAUGCCUAACACAUGCAAGUCGAACGAGACCUUCGGGUCUAGUGGCGCACGGGUGCGUAACGCGUGGGAACCUGCCCUUAGGUUCGGAAUAACUCCCCGAAAGGGGUGCUAAUACCGGAUAAUGUCUUCGGACCAAAGAUUUAUCGCCUUUGGAUGGGCCCGCGUUGGAUUAGCUAGUUGGUAGGGUAAAAGCCUACCAAGGCGACGAUCCAUAACUGGUCUGAGAGGAUGAUCAGCCACACUGGGACUGAGACACGGCCCAGACUCCUACGGGAGGCAGCAGUGGGGAAUAUUGGACAAUGGGCGAAAGCCUGAUCCAGCAAUGCCGCGUGAGUGAUGAAGGCCUUAGGGUUGUAAAGCUCUUUUACCCGGGAUGAUAAUGACAGUACCGGGAGAAUAAGCUCCGGCUAACUCCGUG
rnacentral:rRNA from 1 species